rnacentral:piRNA from 1 species
UCCGUGUGGAGCAAGGUGCUGCGGAGCGA